rnacentral:rRNA from 1 species
CCUACGGGUGGCAGCAGUGAGGAAUAUUGGUCAAUGGACGCAAGUCUGAACCAGCCAUGCCGCGUGCAGGAAGACGGCUCUAUGAGUUGUAAACUGCUUUUGUACGGGGGUAAACGCAGAUACGUGUAUCUGUUUGAAUGUAUCGUACGAAUAAGGAUCGGCUAACUCCGUGCCAGCAGCCGCGGUAAUACGGAGGAUUCAAGCGUUAUCCGGAUUUAUUGGGUUUAAAGGGAGCGUAGGCGGUCGGAUAAGUUAGAGGUGAAAUCCCGAGGCUCAACCUCGGAAUUGCCUUUGAUACUGUUCGGCUAGAGAGUAGGUGCGGUAGGCGGAAUGUCUGGUGUAGCGGUGAAAUGCUUAGAGAUCAUACAGAACACCGAUUGCGAAGGCAGCUUACCAAACUGCUUCUGACGUUGAGGCACGAAAGCGUGGGGAGCAAACAGGAUUAGAUACCCGAGUAGUC